GUGGGGUAAUAUCCUACAAGUCUUA
rnacentral:tRNA from 1 species